rnacentral:misc_RNA from 1 species
GGAAGGAUCAUUACCCGGUGGAGCAGGAUUUAUCCUGCACCUCCCUCCCUUGUGUAUUGUUAACGUUUGCCGGACGGCGUGGGAUCCCCGCGCCGUCUGCGCCUUUCAAACCCCUUUUUUGGAAUGUCUGAUCAAAUCGUAAUGAAAUAAAACUUUCAACAACGGAUCUCUUGGCUCCAGCAUCGAUGAAGAACGCAGCGAAAUGCGAUAACUAGUGUGAAUUGCAGAUUUCCGUGAAUCAUCGAGUCUUUGAACGCACAUUGCGCCCCUUGGUUUACCAGGGGGCAUGUCUAUCCGAGCGUCGUUACACCCCUCAAGCCUGGCUUGGUCUUGGGGCGCGUCCUGCCUGGCAGGGCCGCCCUCAAACGUAACUCGACGUGCCUUUUGUUCGGGAGCGCAGCAGUUUUGCGGCUUUCGCUGGUUCCGUGGAGCCGCCCCUGGCGGACCUCUCUGGUUGACCUCGGAUUAGAUAAGGAUACCCGCUGAACUUAAGCAUAUCAAUAAGCGGAGGAAAAGAAACCAACAGGGAUUGCCUCAGUAACGGCGAGUGAAGCGGCAACAGCUCAAAUUUGAAAUCUGGCGCCUUUGGGCGUCCGAAUUGUAAUUUGCAGAGGAUACUUCGGCUUUGGGCCCGCUCCAGGUUCUUUGGAACAGGACGCCAUAGAGGGUGAGAGCCCCGUCUCUGGGUGGGACCCCAUCGCCAUGUGAAGUGCCUUCGACGAGUCGAGUUGUUUGGGAAUGCAGCUCAAAAUGGGAGGUAAAUUUCUUCCAAGGCUAAAUACCGGCUGGAGACCGAUAGCGCACAAGUAGAGUGAUCGAAAGAUGAAAAGUACUUUGGAAAGAGAGUCAAACAGCGCGUGAAAUUGUUGAAAGGGAAGCGCUUGCAGUCAGACUUGGCUGCCCGGUUCGGUAGCGUCUCGCACGUUGCCUACGCCGCGGCGGUCAGGCCAGCAUUGGUUUGGGCGGUUGGUUAAAGGUUGCGGGAAUGUAGCUCCUCUCGGGGAGUGUUAUAGCCCGCGGCAUAAUACAGCCAGCCCGGACCAAGGAACGCGCUUCGGCUCGGAUGCUGGCGUAAUGGCUGCAAGCGGCCCGUCUUGAAACACGGACCAAGGAGUCUAACAUCUGUGCGAGUGUUUGGGUGUCAAGCCCUUACGCGUAAUGAAAGUGAACGGAGGUGGGAGCCCUCGGGCGCACCAUCGACCGAUCCUGAUGUCUUCGGAAGGAUUUGAGUAAGAGCACAACUGUUGGGACCCGAAAGAUGGUGAACUAUGCCUAAACAGGGUGAAGCCAGAGGAAACUCUGGUGGAGGCUCGCAGCGGUUCUGACGUGCAAAUCGAUCGUCAAAUUUGGGCAUAGGGGCGAAAGACUAAUCGAACCAUCUAGUAGCUGGUUCCUGC